GGUAUUUUGACCGUGCAAAGGUAGCAUAAUCAUUAGUUUUUUAAUUGAAAGCUGGAAUGAAAGGUUGGAUGAGAAAUAAGCUGUCUCUAUUUAAUUUUAUUAGAAUUUUAUUUUUAAGUUAAAAAGCUUAAAUUUUAAUAGAAGACGAGAAGACCCUAUAGAGUUUUAUUUAUUUUUUAAAUAAGAUUAAUAGUAUUAAUUAUUUUUAUUUAAUAAAUAAAUUUAGUUGGGGUGAUUGAAAAAUUUAAUAAACUUUUUUUGUAUUUAUACAUUAAUAUAUGAUUAAUUGAUCCUUAAUUUAAGAUUAAAAGAUAAAAUUACCUUAGGGAUAACAGCGUAAUUUUUUUUGAGAGUUCUAAUCGAAAGAAAAGAUUGCGACCUCGAUGUUGGAUUAAAAUAAAAUUUUGGUGUAGAAGCUAAAG
rnacentral:rRNA from 1 species